UGGCCAGAGCUGCUGGGCGUGCUGGCCAUCAGCUGCUGCUCCACGAGAAUCCGCAUCCCUGCUUCCAAGGGCAGAGGUUUCCCAGCCUUGCCUUCAUCCCAUGCCUCCUCUGGCUAUGAACUGCGACGCUUACCUUCCGCUGCGCCGGGGCCGGCGGGGACGCUCCGGGAGGAUGCUCCGGGGGGCAACGCUCCGGGGGGCCGGUCCCGUGGCGGGGGACGGUGCGAGCUGCCUGCCGAGCACCCGCCGCCCCCGGCCCGCCGCGGCCCCGCUCCGCAACGCCACCGCGCUGCGCUUUCGCUUUCCCUUUCCCUCCGAAACAGAAGGGGCGGCCCCGGCCGCCGGCCGCCCUCCGGGGAAGGGGCUGGGGGAGCCCGGGGGACAAGCCGACCCGGAGCCCGGGCACCCAGGACCGGUGGCCAACGCGACUGCUCGCACCCAUGUAACAAGAUGAGUUUACUCCUUCCCCAGCUGCCUGCGCCGGGGUGUUUCCCGGGACUUGCAGCACAGCGGGCAAGGAGGUACCUGGGCUCUUCAGCAGAGACACCUGGAUGCCCGCGGGUGGGCCACAGCCCCACUCCCCCCGGGUGAUUUCCCACCUGGGACUUGAAGGAGAGGCGCCUGGGAUGCAGGGAGGGAGUGCCCUCACGGAAAGCAGCGGUCCCCUAACAGAGGGGAGCUCCUCACCCACCCCCCUCUAACUGUAAGCAGGAGCUGUAUGAACUCCUGGGGCAGAGGGGGGGAAGCUACCAGAGCCAUGAGAUUUCUGAUGGCUAAGGACAAUUAGUGAAUAAAUCAAAAGGAAUUUAACUUGGUUCACCCCAGGGUCCAGAUGGUCACAAUUAAGCUGCUUCACGAAGCCUCGCAUCCAGAGCCAACAGAGAAGGGGGGAGAGAAGGAGCUUCCCCCCACGGCCAAGGCCACCACGGAGAGCUGGGGCUCUCAACAGCAAUUAGCAGGAGCGAAAAACCUCCUCCUCAGCUGUUCUGCUUUAGUCCUCCUGCACCUUCCAGGAGGCAUACUGCUGCUCGGGGAACACUCACUUAAUGACUGCAUGCUUUAAAGCUAUUUUCUUCAGGAAUUUAAUCCGUUACCUGGUAUUCUUGGGCAUUUCUUGCUUAUCACUCUUCUUAUUUGCCUUGCCUCAAAACAAAGCUAAUACAGGAGCUAGCAGCAGGUAUGCUUGCAGUUUUGCAGUAGGCAAAGAGGCAAGCGAUGGGGAUAGGAUCUGCUAACACAGAAGGUCAAAGAUAUAUGGUGCAAGUGAGGCAGAAAAGCCACCUCCCUACAGCUCUGGCUCUACAUCCCCAGACUCUGCUGGCUCAGCAUGGUGCAGUCUCUGGCUCUGAUAGAAAAACUGAGCUGUGGGAAAUGUGAGCAACUUCCCAAGGAAACAGCCCCCAGUCCCAGUACAGCAUCCCAUGGGCUACACAGGUUUCCAAGUGCUUAAGUGACCUGGGAAUCCAAGGCACUGCUUCAAAGGUGACUUGUUACCUGAGUUCUGGCUGCUGGGGAGACAUGGCAAAACACCAGUUACCUAAUCAUAUUUGAAGUGUGGGUCAUGGGAACCGGUCACCAAGAGUUACUCAGGCUGCUAAUUGUCUCUGCAGCACCGGGGGGGUGGGUGGUGUGUGCCUUGGGUUGGGCUUACUCCUGCCACUUGCCCUUUGUAAACUUUCAGACUCUGCCCUAAGCGCCGUCCCUGGCUGCCAGGUCCCUCGGGUGGCAUCUUGCGCACAGCUCAGAUUUCUGCAAGACUUUUAACUGUCAUCCUUGACAAAACUGCAAAGCAGGGAACUUGGGAAGUGUCACUUAGACUGAUGGAUUCAGAAAGAGCAAAGCACACGUGUGGCCGCGUGUUUGGGUUAACACCUAGGCUGUGGCGAUCAAUAACCUUCAUCGUGCAAGCCUGGGUACUGCGUACAAACAGCGUGUGCCUUACCAAGGACUGUACCCUUGAAGAACAAAAAGACUGAUGGAAGUGGAACAUCCUGCCAUAGAAGGUGCCAGAGGCUGGAAGUCAGCAAAAGUCACGGUAACUAGGGGAAAGGUGAUGGAGGCAGGGGGAGACUGUGACCACCACCUCAAUUUAAGACUGGAAAGACUUGCCCCCGCACCCCUGCAAGGAGCACACAUGCUAAUCUACAUGCAAGUAAGACUAAUUUGGAUAUAAUUAACCCAUAGCAGAUGGGUUGGUAACUACUAACUAAUGAGCAUGAAUUUAGGCAGGUUUUUCCAAAUCAUGUAAUAAGAUAAAUAUGCUGAAGUUCUUUUGGAUGGUUGGCUGGCUUUGUGGAAUACCACUUAGUCUCCAGCUUUGCAUGAAUCUGUAAUAAAGAAAUACCUCCA